rnacentral:rRNA from 1 species
UACAGAGGUCUCGAGCGUUGUUCGGAUUCAUUGGGCGUAAAGGGUGCGUAGGUGGCACUGUAAGUCGGGUGUGAAAUCCUGAGGCUUAACCUCGGAACUGCAUUCGAUACUGCGGUGCUUGAGGACUGGAGAGGAGACUGGAAUUCCUGGUGUAGCGGUGAAAUGCGCAGAUAUCAGGAAGAACACCCGUGGCGAAGGCGGCUCUCUGGGACGGUACUGACGCUGAGACGCGAAAGCGUGGGGAGCGAACAGG